rnacentral:rRNA from 1 species
AUUGAACGCUGGCGGCAGGCCUAACACAUGCAAGUCGAACGAGUGGUGGACGGGUGAUUACUGUCUGGGAAACUGCCUUAUGGAGGGGGAUAACUACUGGAAACUGUAGCUAAUACCGUAUACCCUCGGAUGUGCACAGCUGGGACUAGAUUGAAGGUGGGGACACGGCUCACCUAGGCGACGUGCCCUAGCUGGUCUGAGAGGUUUACCGGCCACACUGAAACUGAGACACGUGCCAGACAGCUACGGGGGGCAGCAGUGGGGAAUAUGGCACAAUGGGCGCAAGACAGAUGCAGCCAUUCCGCGUGUAGGAAGAAGGCCUUCGGGUUGUAAAGUACUUGCACCGAGGAGGCGUUACCCGCAGAAGAAGCACCAGCGAACGCCGUGCCAGCAGCCGCGGUAAUAC